UACGUAGGGGGCAAGCGUUGUCCGGAUUUAUUGGGCGUAAAGAGCGUGUAGGCGGCUUGGUAGGUCCGCUGUGAAAACUCGAGGCUCAACCUCGAGAUGUCGGCGGAAACCACUUGGCUAGAGUCCGGAAGAGGAGAGUGGAAUUCCUGGUGUAGCGGUGAAAUUCGUAGAUAUUAGGAAGAACACCAGUGGCGAAGGCGGCUCACUGGCCCGGUACUGACGCUGAGGCGCGAAAAGCGUGGGGGAGCAAACAGG
rnacentral:rRNA from 1 species